rnacentral:misc_RNA from 1 species
UCCUCCCAAUAAAAAAAGAAGCACACCUGAUGGGACUAGUCAAAUGAGUUUAUACUGGCACUAGAUCUAAUGGAUUCCAUGAAAACAAAUAUGAUUCAUACCAGACAUAAAAAUGUGACUAAUGGCGCAAGAUACAAAUAGUCAUCUAUCAGUGAAUGAAGAAUAUGAAAAUAAUCAUAUUUGAUAGAUCACACAUCAUUAAGAAUUAUAUCUGCCAUACAGUCGUGCAAGCCAAUCAGAUAUAGCAAAUGCCAACAACACCCAAAUUGAAGAUUUUAAUAUGCAACUCAUGUAGGUGCCUCUUGUCAAUUGUCUAGGCCUUUCUUGAUUCAUGGAGCUUAAAGCAGAUUAACGGUUAAUAGAGCGUCGGGUCAAAGUCUGACCAAGUUAGAAUGAUAGAAGAGGAAUAUCAGUUUCUUUCGAGGGAAACCAACAUCCAAAGACACAAAUAAUUGGAUAAAACUUUUACUGACGUAAUUCCUUUCUCAAUUACAAUAAUUAUAGGACUCUCAAGCAGACAAACCCCCUAAAUCAUGUAACCGCUGUUGCCUGCAAAUUAGCAACAACCUAAACAGCUUAGGCUCCCAGGAUGGCUCAGACUCAUUAAACAACCCCAAAUUUACAUAGAACAGUGACCCAAGAUAGAAUCAAACAUCCAUACCAGGACAUAUAUAAAGUAUCACACACUCUGAAUAAACUUCCCUGUGCAAUGCAAAGUAAAAACAAGAAACCAACCAUAUGCAACUACAAAGCAAGAAACAAAAAUAGAAAAAGCCCAUGAAAAGUGACCUGGAUCACAAUGCAGCAGAAAAGCAGAUAACAAGAUUGCGUCACACUAAUGGCAUAAAUAGUGAAGUAGACCACUCUAGCAUAUAGCAUUAUAAAAUUAACAGAUUUGGUUGUGAAGGGUAUAAGGGUACCCAAGCAUUAGGGGUUAAGAGAACACAACAAAAAACAAAUGGAACACAAAAAAAAUGCAUGUAUUUUGACCCCAUAUCCCAAUUUCAUUUCCAACUUUUUAUAGUGAUCUUAGCGACAUCAAGCAGCAGACAGCAAGGAUGGAUAAAGGCUGAAACUUAUUCAAGAUAAUCAUUCAUGUACACACCAUAUAAACUCAUUUCAAAUACAAAUGAAAGAACCAUGAGUGUUCAUAAUUCAUAUUAUGUCAAAAAUAUAAACAGAAAGGAUACAGUUUUCCUUUCACUAAAAGGGUCACCACUAACCAUUCCCUCCUCAAGUUCUCGGGCAGUGCGUAAAGACCUCAAUCCUGGUUCCUUAGACCUUUUCGGUCCCUGCAAAUCAUGCCACCUCUUUGAAGUCCAUCAAGCCCAAAUGCUUUGAAGAGAACCACAACUACAAAUGAUUUGUCAUAGGUACCUUUAAGUAGCCACCAGGAUCAUGGGUGUCAAUUCCCAAUAAAUGCCCCAGGCCAUGAGGCAUGAAAACAGCACCCAACCGCUCAGUCAUCAUAUCAUCUACAUUGCCAACAACAAUGCACCCUUUCUUCAAUGACUCCAGAAUUAUUUUCUCUGCUAAUUUGUGCAUGUCUAACCAGCUAACUCCAGGUCUCAUUGCAGAUAUGACAGCAUUGUGAGCAUCAAGCACAGCAUUGUAUAUGAGAGACUGAUCACUUGUAAACUUACCAUUCACAGGGAACGAACAAGUUAUGUCAGACCCAUAAAAAUUAUAUUCAGCUCCCAUAUCAAACAAUGCCAUAUCUCCAUCUUCCAAAGUCCUAUCAUUUGGAGCUGCUGCAUGCCCAUAAUGGAGUACAGCGCUAUUUUCACCAGUAGCACAUAUACAUGUGUAUGAGCAGUGCCUACAGCCACCAUACAUGUAUGUGUGGUGAAGAAAUAUGCUUUCCAACUGAUACUCUUUCAUGCCCACCUGAAUUUUUCUCAUAACCUCCACAUGUGCUUCAGAGCUGAUGUCAUUAGCAAAUUUAACAACAGCAAGCUCCAGAUCGGACUUCAAAACACGACAUUCAGUCAAAAUAGGAUGUAAUGUAGUCAAAUCUGAUUCAAACUUUUCUAUCCCCUCAAAUCCUGCUGCAUUAGAGAAGUUACUGCUGUCAGUAUUGAGUCCAUGCAAGAGAAACAGUAGAGGUUUGUCAACUUCCUUGCUGAUUUUAUGCAGGGCUCCUACAAUUUCAUCUGUAUAAUAGACCAUGCUAACCUUGUACUUUUCCUGAAAAUAAGAUAAUGGCUUUAUUUCUCCCAACCAAACAGCGUAAUCAGCAGGUAGCCUAGGAACAAACAGAAUAGAAUUCCCUGUUGCAACAUCAAUUGCUCCACAGAAGCCAGGCUCCGUCACUCCAAAAAGAUAAGCAAAAUAACUCUCCUGCCUGAAGAGUUCGAUGUGAUCAGUACAGUAGCGAAAUUUUUCCUCGCCUCCCUGAAGAAAGACGAAGCCGUGGAGAGGACGGGAGGUUUCGAUGAGGUAUUGACGGAGGGAUUUAAGGAGCUUUUCGCGGUUGGUGACGUAAAGCUCCGUCGGGACUUUAGGGGGAGAAAGAGAAGACGGAGACGAAGAUGAAGCCAUAGAAACGGCUUUUCUCUACCGAUUUCCGUUGACAGGAGUGCCCGCUUUGCUUAGUUAUACACUCUCGUCGUCUGAUGAUGCAACUCGAGCCUGUUUGGUUUCGCUCCCUUGAGUUCG